UGUAAUAGUAGCUGAAGGUUGUGAUAGUAGCUGAAGGUUGUAAUAGUAGCUGAAGGUUGUAAUAGUAGCUGAAAGCUGUUAUAGUAGCUGAAAUCUGUAAUCGUAGCUGAAGGUUGUAAUAGUAGCUGAAGGUUGUGAUAGUAGCUGAAGGUUGUAAUUGUAGCUGAAAGCUGUAAUAGUAGCUGAAAGCUGUAAUAGUAGCUGAAGGUUGUGAUAGUAGCUGAAGGUUGUAAUAGUAGCUGAAGGUUGUAAUAGUAGCUGAAGGCUGUAAUAGUAGCUGAAGGUUGUAGUAGCUGAAGAUUGUAAUAGUAGCUGAAGGCUGUAAUAGUAGCUGAAGGUUGUGAUAGUAGCUGAAGGUUGUAGUAGCUGAAGGUUGUAAUAGUAGCUGAAGGUUGUGAUAGUAGCUGAAGGUUGUGAUAGUAGCUGAAGGUUGUAAUAGUAGCUGAAGGCUGUAAUAGUAGCUGAAGUUUGCGAUAGUAGCUGAAGGCUGUAAUAGUUGCUGAAGGUUGCGAUAGUAGCUGAAGGUUGUGAUAGUAGCUGAAGGCUGUAAUAGUUGCUGAAGGUUGCGAUAGUAGCUGAAGGUUGUGAUAGUAGCUGAAGGUUGUAAUAGUUGCUGAAGGUUGCGAUAGUAGCUGAAGGUUGUGAUAGUAGCUGAAGGUUGUAAUAGUAGCUGAAGGCUGUAAUAGUAGCUGAAGGUUGUAAUAGUAGCUGAAGGUUGUAAUAGUAGCUGAAGGUUGUGAUAGUAGCUGAAGGUUGUAAUAGUAGCUGAAGGUUGUAAUAGUAGCUGAAGGUUGUAAUAGUAGCUGAAGGAUGUAAUAGUACCUGAAGGUUGUGAUAGUAGCUGAAGGUUGUGAUAGUAGCUGAAGUUUGUAAUAGUAGCUGAAUGUUGUAAUAGUAGCUGAAGGCUGUAAUAGUAGCUGAAGGUUGCGAUAGUAGCUGAAGGUUGUGAUAGUAGCUGAAGGUAGCUGGGAGUUUGCAGAAACAGACUCAGAUGUUUGUUGGAUGAUGUUUCCUGCAGCUUUAAUGAGUCUGGAGGACGUUUGUUGUUUCGUCCUGCACUUGUCAAACAGUUGUUUAAAGUAAAUAAGAAGUCUUUUAAUUGGAUUUGGCAAAUCUUCCUGCGCUGAUGAAUGCCACAGUGGAGGAAAAAAACCAUCAGGAAUCUGUGAGGAAACAGACUGUUUGAGGUUUUUAUUAAUUAUCUGGCUGUAAUUUAACAGAGCGAGCUGUCAUUAAAUCACCGAGRCUCUCGUCCUGCUCGAGCUUUUUUUCCACGACACAAUUUAUCUUUUUGGCUGUUUUAAGCCCCCACUUUGUAAUGAGUUAUUGGGCUGUUCCCUGAUAUUCCCCUGUGAUUGAGCAGGAAGUAUUCGGGACAUGAUUUAUAGACGUUAAUUGUGGUGCUCAGAAACUCACGAUGAA